rnacentral:lncRNA from 1 species
GCUAUAGCAUUGGGGGGUGAUGCUGGCCGACUUCGUCCGCCGGAUUCGGAAUGCCGCGAGACUUUGCGAGGGGCCUCCAUGUGCUAAAAAUAGGCCGCGGGCAAAGCCGCGCCCAAAAAUAACCGCCCGACAGCCGGGGCGCCAAGUUCGUCCAGCGGAAAAAGGCCACAAAAACGGGUGGACUAUAGCCUUGGGGGGUGGGGCUGGCCAACUUCGUCCGCCGGACUCGGAAUGCCGCGAGACUUUGCGAGGGGCCUCCGUGUGCCAAAAAUAGGCCGG